UAUAGCACUCGUUUGGGCAUU
ensembl:piRNA 21ur-2322 ncRNA